UAGGGAAUCUUCCACAAUGGGCGCAAGCCUGAUGGAGCAACACCGCGUGAGUGAAGAAGGGUUUCGGCUCGUAAAGCUCUGUUGUUAAAGAAGAACACGUAUGAGAGUAACUGUUCAUACGUUGACGGUAUUUAACCAGAAAGUCACGGCUAACUACGUGCCAGCAGCCGCGGUAAUACGUAGGUGGCAAGCGUUGUCCGGAUUUAUUGGGCGUAAAGGGAACGCAGGCGGUCUUUUAAGUCUGAUGUGAAAGCCUUCGGCUUAACCGGAGUAGUGCAUUGGAAACUGGAAGACUUGAGUGCAGAAGAGGAGAGUGGAACUCCAUGUGUAGCGGUGAAAUGCGUAGAUAUAUGGAAGAACACCAGUGGCGAAAGCGGCUCUCUGGUCUGUAACUGACGCUGAGGUUCGAAAGCGUGGGUAGCAAACAGGAUUAGAUACCCUGGUAGUCCACGCCGUAAACGAUGAAUGCUAGGUGUUGGAGGGUUUCCGCCCUUCAGUGCCGCAGCUAACGCAAUAAGCAUUCCGCCUGGGGAGUACGACCGCAAGGUUG
rnacentral:rRNA from 1 species